CGCUGAGCAAACCUAACACUUGCGUUGGAUGAAAAAAAUCUGCAACUGGUAAGUUACACUCAGAUGUAAUGCUCAGAGCUGUGUUGUGGAUAAAUAAAAAAAAAUUCUGACCAAAAAAAAACAAUUUCUGACCAUAACUUAUUUUAUAUGCUUUGCUAUGUUUUUUCUUACUCUUAUCAGAUCAACUCCAUGGUAUUUAAUUCUUAAAGUUAUUUUGUUUACUUUGCACUCUCCAAUAAAUAUCUCACUAGUGCAGCUGGACAUAGUAAAACUGACAUGGUUAUCAUAAGCAGAAAGCGUCAUCAGUCUUUACCCCAACCUAUUCCCAGUCCAUUUUGUCAUGGCAAGAACUCACAAAUAUCUUAAAAUUAUGCAAUUCCCUGUGCUUCUUUAUGGCGACAAAAUAAUUUUUAAAAAGGUACCUUACACAUAUGGCCAUUCCAGACACUUUUUAUAUACAUAAGAUAAGUAACAAUGACUCUUAAAAUGUGAAGCUACCUUGUUUCUAUUAUAUUUGCUAAUAUUCACCUAGACCAAUUGAAUAGUGGCGCUUUUCACAGCUGGUCGGGUUUUCGUAACAGUCAGCAAGGGACUAUGUUUGUUGAUCUUUUGGACAAUUGUAUUCCUCAGCUGAUAUAAUUCCUCAUAGGAAUUAGCUGUAAGGCAAUAGAUAUUUCCUUGUUAUGUAACUGGCUGUUAUUUAAGAACUUCCGUUGCCACCAAUAACUCAAUGACACGUCCCAGGAGAAAUGGUAUAAUGACUAUUGCAUACAGGUUAACACAGGUUCAUCUAGACAAUAUCUACAAUAUUGCUAUAUAUCUGUGGAACUUUGAAAUGUGUCUUCAAGACAGCUGGCAGACAUACAAUAACACAAUGAACAGCCCUCUCUAUUAAAACAAUAAAUGAUUUCCUAUGUCAUGUCAAGACGUGUUACCUAAUUUCGUUUACCGCCCUUUAGUGGUUUAUCCAUUAAAUGAUGAGUUGACCUAAGUACACACCCGAGGUGAUAACUCUCAUGUAACAAAUUGAGAAUUUGAACUUCUGACGCCCAUUAACUUGGCCUGACUCCCAUGUUUAACUUGGUGGGAUCCCUUUGGAAAUGUAGCCUUGUCAUGAUUCGCUUGGAAAAAGAUUUAUUCCCUUUUAACUCAUGAGAUUCACUUCACGUACAAUCCCAUUUCAAUCAAAGAAAAAUCAACACUUCAGCAAACAGCAAUGCAAUGAAGUACUGAGCACGUGGUAGUUACUGUUUACAGGUACAUCAGCUUAAAGGAGCACUCCUGAACCCUAAAACACUUUAGCUUGCUGAAAUUGUUUAUGUUUGAAGAGUGUGUUCUCUUUUUUUAUUUUAUAAAAGAACUGAUUUCAAUAGAAAUUGGCACAUUUAUGAAUUAAUCUCAUACUCCCUGGCUGUCAGUCAGUCAACUAGUCCUGUUACUUCCUGGUUUGUUAAGCUCAUUGGAGCUAAACUCAAGAGGCAGCAAUUGCUUAGAGCACCUGCCUUGCAAUGACUUCUCAUUGAGCUGAAGAAAUUCUGGGCUGUGGAAGAAGGUGAGGCCUUGCAAAGGCAGCAGACAGGAGAUCUAAUUGAGCCAAGAUGGAGAUGACCAGCUGCAGGAUAAAGACGUGUGAAUUUCUACAUUGAAUCAAAUCUUUCACACUUCAGAAAUACACAUAUUUGUUAAAAAUAGUGAUAAUAGAAAAUAAUAUUAAGAAUCAUUGGAAAUUACACUUCCUAUUUAAAUAGUACUUUUUGACUUCUACUUUUAUGUGGUAUAUUUUACUUCAAAUAAACAUGUUUACUAUUUGUCUUACACUGAUCAUCCACAACAUUAAAACCACCUAAUAUCGUGUAGAUUUCCCUCGUGCUGCCAAAACAUCUUUGAUUUACCUGACACCAAGACAUUUGAAGCAAAUCUUUAAGUCCUGCAAGUUGCAAGGUGGGGAAUCCAUGGAUCAGUUUUGUUGUUUAAGCACAUCCCACAGAUGCUCAGUCAUAUUAAGAUCUGGGGAAUUUGGAGGCAAAGGCAACACCUUUAACUCUUUGUCAUGUUCCUUGAACCAUUCCUGAACAUUUUUAGCAGUGUGGCAGGGUGCAUUAUCCUGCUGAAAGAGGCCACUGCCAACAGGUAACACCUUUGUCAUGUGUACAUGGUCUGCAACAAUCUCUAGGUAGGUGGUGUGAUGGGAUUCCAGCAUGGUUAAAAUUUAGUAGGCCAAAAUCUCCAUGUGGCAUAUGUGUAUGUUGUGUCAGUUGGUUAGCUACAUGUAGCUAGGAUACUGUCAUCAGUGUACUGAGCAUGUGCAGGAAUGCAGGAACUGAAAUUGCACUUAUUUCCUUUGUCUUGGAUGAGCCAUGUGGUUUGACUAGAUGUACAAGUCUAUAUUCUGCUCAUUGAUUGGUCUGAGGAAUAUAGGAGGGGUUAUACUGUAUGGGAGGAGAUAUGCAGUUAACAAAAGUCCCAAGCCACAAGUAUAUGUCUCUCAGAUCCUUUGGAACAGGAGUUCAUCUGAGACCCGAUCGGUAAUGUGAAUAAAGGCCUGUUACUUCCUGAAGACCUGUGUCCAAUAUUUCUGUGUUUGGCUUCUGCAUGCUUACACUGCAACAGUGGUACAUGUCAGAGUAACAUCCACAUGAAUGCCAGGACCCAAGAUUUCCAAGCAGAACAUUGCCGAGAGCAUAACGCUGCCUCCGCCUACAUGCUUUCUUCCCAUAGUGCAUCAAGCUGCCAACUCUUCCCAAGGUAAACAACGCACAGGCACCAGACCAUCCACCAAAUCUAAAAGAAAAGGUGAUUCAUUAAACCAGACAACCUUCUUCCAUUGCUCCAUGGUCCAGUUGCCCAUUAAAGGCUCUUUCAACAGUGGACAGGGAUCAUCACGGGCACUCUGAUUAAUCUUUGGCUACCCAGCCCCAUGUGCAGCAAUCUGCAAUGCACUGUGUGUUCUGACACCUUUUGGUCAACUUUACAUUUUUCAACAAUUUGAAGUACAGUAGCUCGUUUGUGUGAUCGUAUCAGAUGGGCUAGCCAUUACUCCCCACGUGUAUCAAAAAACCUUGGGGACCAGGUUCACCAAUUGUCUUUUCUUGCACCACUUUUGGUAGGUAAUAACCACUGCAUACCAGGAACAGCUCACAAAAUUUACCAUUUUGGAGAUACUCUGACCCAGUUGUCUAGCCAUCACUAUUUGGCACAUGUCAAAGUCACCCAGAUCUUUUCCCUUGACCAGUUUUCUUGCUUCCAAAACAUGAAAUUCAAGAAUGGACUGUUCACUUGCUACCCAACAAAUCCGACCCCUUGACAAGUGCCAUUGUAACGAUUAAAUCAUCUGUCAGUGGUUUUAAUGUUGUAGCUGAUCAGUGUAUACCAAGUUAUUUGAUGCACUUAAGUUCUCGAUGAACACUGUAACUUUCUUUUGUGAAAUACUCACUAUGUUACAUAUGUACCACUAUACAUUGAAAAAAUGCCUAUCCUUGGGAUUAUAAUUUGUUUCUUCAAGGACUCAGAGUUGGAGGCACAAAGUCUAAAAUUAGAUCCUUCCAACUUCUCCCAGGGUAUCAUGCCAGCUUCCACAUAUCAUUGGACCACUGGUCUUGGACCUUAUAAAGAAAUAUGGUCCCUGUCAUCUCUGUGGUUAUGUGUUAAACUGUAUGGGACAGCUAAAUCUCUAGUGUUGUAUUCUCUGAUACAUUUUACAAAAGGUAUGAGCUUGUCUAUGACAUUGUUACACAGCAUGUUCUGAAUUACACAGCAAUUCCACUGUGUUUGUUUUUACAGUUUAAGAGCACUGUGCAAUUCAAGCAUGCCCAGGGGACAUAAGUAUUCAUUAAUAUCCCAAAGUGGCAACGCUUAUUAAAUCUCACAAUCGGUAUAUGCCAACUCACAUCAUCAAGGCUUUUUUUUUUCAUUUAUCUUCUCUCAGCCAGCUUCAAUUUUCACUCUAGCAGCUAGAAAGUUUACCAAAGUAAACUUUCCAAUUUAUGGGGAAAUGAAUCAGACAACUCAAGUUUUUAUUUUAUUUUAAAAACAGAAGAGGGUGUUUUAGUGAAUGGAAAAAAGUGCUGUUGGGAGCGGGGCCUGACAGCCAAGAUGGCCAGAUGUGUUUUAUCUUAGCUCCUGCCCAACCAAGCUAAAUAUAGGCUAUUAAUGCCCAAUAUCACACAGAGUGCCGCCUUAAGUGAGCAGCAAAUGGACGAUAUAAGAAGAGGCACCUCAAGCACACCUGAUUAUAAAGGCUCAGCUGAGUAUAUACUAUGUCCGACCACGAGACCUACCAAGACUGAUGGCCCGGUGAGUGGGGGAUGUGGCCGGUCUUCCACCACUGGACCCGCAUCAAAUAUGAAGCCCUGCACCCCCCACUCUGGACUGGCAGGGGGUAUCUUGGUCCCUGCGGAGGGAACUAACCUCCCUGUACCAGCGGAGUCUCUCAUCGACCUGAACACACAGGCACCACGUGGAAACCUAAGAUGGCUGCCGCAGACUACACUGUCUCAUAAAGGCUCGGAGAGCCAGAGCUGGCAGGCACUCUUCAAUGCUCGUUUUAAUAAGAUAUGCCAGGAGUUUUGGGCUCAGAUUCAGAGCUGAACCUGUAUCCCUGCAGCACCUGCUCUGCCAGAGGACUGGGCUUCUGAGGAAGACCGAGAUCAGGAAGGAGGUUCAGCGCUGAUAGGAAAACAGAGAAUAUGACAGCAAGGCAGCACACCUAUGGAAAAGGGGAAUCCCCUCUAAGCCUCGAAGACCACCAGCUCGGCAAGGGUCUGAGGGCACGACUAGCCCGCCAAACGGUGCAGACCCCAGGGAGUGAUGGCAUGCGGUUGAGCUCGCCUCCCAACAUUGAACACCCAAUGGCUGGCACUAAUCAGAAGCCACUAAAAGCUUGUGAUGGUAAGAAGCCAAAGGGAAAGAAAGCCCAAGUUUGUUCACUUACAUUCUAAGCCGUCCAACACCCCGCUAACUGCCCUUCUAAGCUGUGGGCCCAGCCCACCGUCAGAGGGAGCAACAUCGAUCUCAAGACCUCGCUCAUGGUGCAGAGAAUGAACAGAGCAGUGAGAACUGUACAUGGCUCUUGUUGAGGCCUGAGGCCAGUGGAGGGGCCAGCUUUGGAGUGAUGGGUCUCUGCCUCAUUACGAGACUCUAAUAGCCACUAUAGGUAUUGGGUGAAGGCUUAAUGUGUUGGUGAGGGAAACAUGCAUUGCUGCUCCGGCCAGCCUUAAAUGCUUCUCUCCGGGUUUAUCUAACCAUCCUUGUGUUUGCCAACAUGGCCCUACUCACUCAUCGUUACUAGCAAUUGUGAUGUAGCCUGUUAUUCUACAAGCAAGUUCAGCAUGUUUAAUUUCAUACGUACCUACCUUGUCUUUCUCAUGUCUGGAGGGCUUUCAUUGUUUAUGAUCAAGGAAGUACACCUCGUAUGGUAUACUAGGCUUCACUCUUUUACCUCUAAAGUCUAGAUAUUACUCUUAGCUUUCUUUGAGACCUAGCAGUCUAUCCCCUGGUCAUGUCAGCCCUUCAUGAUGUUAUCUUAUGUUAUCUUUUCCUUUAAAAAAAAUGUGCCAAUGUUUUUGAUACCAUGCCAAUGUUUUAUUAUAUCUGUUUUUGAAUUGCUUGCAAUUACUGUCGUGACAUCGCAAGCUUGUCUAUUAUCACGUGCACUACAAAAAUAAAGAAUUAAAGAAAAAAAGUGGUGUUAACGUGACAAACUCUGUAAUCCUCAGAUAAAACUAAAAGUCUAGUGUCUAACUUUUAUCAAUAUAAAUAAAAGUGUAUUUGAUAUGACGGAUACAACCUGUUGUUUUAAUGUGUAAAACUACAUUUAAAUCACAAGCUCAAGGUUUUUGAUGUUAUAUAUCAGUACAUUUUAUACUCUAAUUGUGUGUGGUUAGGGGGGGACCUAAUUAUAGUGAACUUGAACCCCAAAGAACCACUCAAAAUAUCGGAGACAAGAGCACUCAAAUUGAUCUAUGGUAUAUUGUGCUAUGUUGAACCUUGUGCCCCUAUGUCCCUGUUGGUAAUUGUACUACCAGCCAGCUUCUUGCUAAUAACACAGCUAAUACUAAGGAUCAGCUGGAAGCAGAGUUUGGGCUGUUGUUGGUAACUGGUGUAGGCCACUCUACCUCAAACAUUGCCUUGUAGACAGUAGUGAUUAUACUUCCAUAGAGUCCCUUAAAUCAACCCACCAGUGAAAGUGAACACCUGUCUUAGGGAGAAUGAUAUCAGAUGCAAUGGUUUAUGAAGACAAGGCAUGGGGCAAGAUCUUUAUAACAUAAACUAUGGUGGCAACUGUGGGUGUAUAAACAGAUCACUUGAAAAUUGUUAAUGAAUGAGAUAUAAAAGGGAGCUACCUUCUUGCAAUCACUAAUAGAACACAGGGUUUGAAGUGUGAUAUAAUCAACCUGAUAAGACUUUCUCUUGUAUUUCUUGGUCAAGGGAUCAAAACCAUUCUCUGCUGCAAAGUAUGUCUCAGAAGGUGGCCAGUUAGCAUAACUGUACAAGACAUUUGUUCAGUGUGCACAUUCACAUCAGUGAGGAAAAUUGAGCAUAAAGCAGAGAAGAGUCUGCCAUAAGACAUUAUAGAAUUGCAAAUACAUUGUCACAGUCCCAUCUCCCACCUUCCCAUCUGGUUCAGAGAUCCAAACCAAAGAGGAUUUUCCAGAAAAUAGGGCAUCUAACAUUAUUAGUCCAAGGGAUAAAAUCUGGCCUGGGUAUACACACAUUUAGAAGUUUACAAAUAAGCUAAGUCAGGACACACAGGGCUUUGCUUAUUCACAGACAGCGAACAGCUGAUGCUCUGUGCCAAGGAGUUUGUCCAGCUCUGGAGGCUCAGCAUAGGAUAUUUAAUGGAAGCUCUGAAGGACCCCAGGCAACUAGCAAAUGGUCGGAUUUUUAUAUUGGGAGGGGAGGUGACACCAGGACCACUACAGUUCACUGCUGUGGUUAUGAUGAUUGGGGUGUUCCUUAAAGCCACCCUGUCUUAAUAGAUUCUCAGUUGACUUUUUCAGAACUGGAACCACAUCGAAUUCACCCACUUCAUGUCUACUUGAACUAAAAACUGAACUUAAAUUAUGCCAUUUGGUUUUCAAUUCACUACAAUUUGAAGUUUAUUUACUAAACUCGUUUUAUACAUACUCAGAUUCUCACUGCGUGGAGCAAAGACAUAAGGUGUCGUAGUAAUUUAUAGAAAUAUAAUAAUUAAGUGUUCUUGCAUAGCAAGACCACUUAAUGUUAUCUCACAUAUAUAUUAUUAUUCUUGUUAUUAUAGCCAAAUUUACCACCCUAACUCCUCCCACGGUUUUUAGACUACAUAGACAGUAAUAUACCCAAACGUGCGGAUUGUUCCCGAUUGGUGUGCUAUUACUUUGUGGAACGUUUCACCAAAUGGUUCAGGGAAUAUCGUCGUUCUUGUGGCGAAAUUGGUCCCUUAGAAAUGAAUGGUUCAAAACUAGAGUGGGAGCUGACAAAAGCUGAAAAAUCAGGACAUGAUUUCUAAACUGCCACCACUCCCUCAUUUUCAAGCCCACCUACACAAAUCUUAUAUCAAAACGUUCAGCUAUCCCUGCUGCCACUAAACAUGUCCAUGGCUAAGCCAUAGUCCUGAUAGUUUUCACAAUAUGACCAUUUGUUUGCAACUCACACCGUCCAUUGACAUUCAUUGAAACUCCACUCUAGCCAGCUCAAAUUUGAAGGGCAAUUUCUAAACUGCGACUGUGCCUUCAUUUAUAAUAUUUCAGAGACAUACUAUGCAUCAAAAUGUAGGUCUGGGUCUUGUGAUUCUCACAAUAUAAAGCUCUUCGCUGUAGGAUUUAUAGUUUUUAAAAUACAACCGUUUGAAGAUGGCAACCGCCAAAAUACUCUGACCUGUCAGGCUGCAGCAGCAAGUGAUGUCAUAGACAGGGCCUUUUGAACACCUGCUAAUGUUUUUAUAAAUGUAUGUUUUAAUGUAACUGUGAAGCACUUUGGGCUACAACGUUGCAUUUAAAUGUACUAUAUAAAUAAAUAAUAACAGUUACUCCGCCCACUCCAGUUGUAGACUACUGGUGGAGGCAAGAACACUUCACACAAUUUCCCCAGAAAUUGUAGCUUUCUAGUUAUAAUUAUUAUUUAUAUAGGGCCAACAAGUUUGACAGCGGCAUACAAUGUGUGGACUAACAGACACAUAAUUGUAACCAGACAAGUUGGACACACAGGAACAGGGCUCUUAACAGUUUAAUUGAUACACUUUCCUGAAGAAGUGAGUUUUCAAUGAUUUUUCAAAGGAAUGUAGACUGGGUGAAUAGUGCUGCCCUAUAGAAGUCUUGAAGGCGGGCAUCAGAGGUGGGAGUACAAACAGAGGACAGACAUAGGUCUUUGGCAGAGCAUAAUGUCUGCUUAUAAACAGUCAAGGCAGCCUGCCAAUAUUCAUUCCAGGGAACACAGCUAAUAAGUAAUAUAUACCUACACGUAUUCUGGGUGUUUUCCACCUUUUUAUUAUUUCAACACAGCUAAUAAGACUUGUAGUGUUUUGCACACAAAGAAUAUUUGGUAUAUAGGUUAAAAAAACAGAUCCAUAUACAUUGACUUAUGUACAACACAAAUUAACUGUCACCAAAGUAAUACAAAAACAUAGGAGUACAUAGACGAUCCACUUACAUUUUAAACUAAAGACUUGAUGUAUUCUCAUUCCAGAUCUGUAUCCAUGAAGCUGUUGAUCCAAAUUAGAUAAAUAGGCAAGACCAUCGGAACAAUUACUCUCUUGUUCACUUCCAGUGCAGUAAACUCCAUUAAAGUACAGACGGUUUCACUUUUGUAUGCAUAACUCUUAAAAUGUGCUUUUGUACAAAAAAAUAAAUUUAGAUGUUGGCUUUGGUUUCUUUUAAACAUAUCCGUUCUGAGAUGUUUCAUGAAUAAAAAAAACAGGAAUCUCGUAUCUGCAUGCAAAAAGAAAAACAUCUCAUAGUAACAACUGAAUACAAACUUACUCAUCCAAAUGAAUUUGGAGAGAUUGUUGCUUUUAGCCUCAGAAUAAACAAAUGUGAUAAAGGAUCAAAGGAGUGGAACUUUGAAGAACACACAAACAGAGCUAUCUGCCUUAAGAACAUGUUUAUCAAACAUUACUAUGUCUGGAGGAACCUUAAAGAGGCUUUGUUGGUUAAUAGCUUUAAUCUUGUAAUAAAAUAUACUGUUAAAUGUGAUCCAGUAAUAAACUGUUUGUUCACAACAGAACCCCACAUUUCUAAAGACGAGAGAUUAAUUUGAGGCAUUUGUUAACCAAACACAGAAACGUCAACCCAUCCCUUUCUGUGGACAAAAUCCACCGACGCUAGCAGUAAUAUCAGCCAUGUGCGUGUUAUGCAUAGUUUACACAAUAGUAAAAAAUUACCAACAGCUGUGUAAAUGAUAAUAUUAAUGCAAACGAUAACAAUGAUAUUUCCUGUAUAUGUAUAUUGGUAAAAUAAGGACAACGCUAAAAACAUAAAUAUCCGUUUAUUUCAUUUAUUUAUUUAUACUUCUCUGGGUAGAGUUACAUUAUAAUAUACAAUUAUCAAAAUUAUAAAUUGUAAGAGAAUAUAAACACAACACUAUAUUCAUGAAUAUGUCCCAGUAUAAAUCAUGUUUACAUCUAUGUCCUAAAUUCUAUUUUGUGGCUAAUAAAAAAUAUGCAAAAACAAAUAUAUAUUUUUUGUAAUAUUGAUGUAAAAUUGUGACUUGGAAAAACAAAUACAAAUAGAAAAUAAAACGUAACACAAAACAAACUCAAAAUCUAUGGUGACCACACAUUUUCAGCUUGAGUCUAAUGAAGGUGUCUGAAAUAAGCAUUCGAUAAGUGCGCCAUGUGCUAUGGGGACAUCAGAGAGGCAAAGUCUCUUCCAAGAUGUGAAGAUAACAGGUGCAGAGUUGGUGUGAGGGACGUGUGUUUUCACAGUAGGAAUAGUCUUAUCAUUGCUGGAAUAAUAUCUAAAUUGUUAAAAUGUGUGUUUAAUUUAAAAGAAGCUAAGUGCAUGAAGCCAACCUGCCCUGAUGCUAGUUAUGUUUAUAGAGUCAGGAAAGCAUACAGAAAACACAACCAUAAUUGAAUUUAAUACCCAGUUGUGCUGCUUACUAAUAGAUGUAUAAAGAAUGAUGUUAAAGAACUUAUAGUAAAUUUAUAGCGCUGCAACACAGGCUGUGUCACAGGUAACCGGAGACCUGAUGUGCAUUAAAUCCAGAAAACGUCUAUCACCUUGAUGAUACUUUAACAUCUUUGAUCAUGCAUAAAGGACAAUUCAUCCUGUACUGGUUAUUAUAGUUUUGAUAAUUAUCCUCCACAGAAAAUGCCUGCAAUACUUUGAAGUAUUUGAAGAACUUACAUACAAAAUGUUCAAAAUACUUAAAAUUACACAGGAAGUCUGCAUUAAUUCAGCUGGGGACCAAACGCUUAUGAGCAAUCAAGAUUGCCCAGGGCUCUUGGCAAGAUGCCAAAUUGCCCCCCUCCUCCAAGCCCUAGGUUCUGUUCUGUGUGUGGCUACAGCUAAGUGUUGUCUUGUGUGUAUAUGGUUGUCUGUGGAGUAGGCAUGAGUGUGGUUGUGCAUGUGGUGUUUGUGUGUUAGGGGGGCAAGGUUGAGUGUUGGGGGGGAUAUUCCUCAUUAUGAUAUCUAAAGUUAAAGGAACACUCUACUGCCUAAAUAAAAAUAAAUGUAAAAAAAUCUAAUCACUAUUUAAUAGAUAUUUUAUAUAUAAUAUGAAAACAUGUAUGGGUUUAAUUAUGCUUUUUUAUUGUGAUAUCAUCUAAAACAGCUUGCAAAAGCUGCAGAUCUCUUGUUUGCAGCCUUUUCAAGCCCCCUUCUUCUAACCAAGGCCAACCUUUCUGUCUGUCGAAUCACAGACUUCCUAAUGCAAAUGUAACGGGGUUUUGGGGGUGCCCCCUAGUAUCUUUGGGGUCCCCAAACCUAGUUAACUCACUAUGCCUGACAGGUGGAUCCCGAGCCUCCGCUAUCUGGGAGCUGGGGUACAUGUCUGCGGCAGUGCCUCCACCCAGUGGAGCAUCCUGGGUAGGGAUGUGGGGUCCCACUGGGAACAUACUUGGUGCAAUGAGACUGACACAGUCUAACUGGAACUAACUUUAUAUGGUAAGUAGCAAUUGAACCAACAUACAUAGGAAAAUACAAUAGAGUAACACAGAUAACAAUGCAAAUGUGGAUUUUCCUCACUCACCCACCAGCACAUCUGCGCCCCACCCCCUUAUCUUCGCCCUAGCGGCCGUUGGUGCACAUAGGAGAGUUGGGGCCCUUAUAAGUCCUGCUCAGCAGGGUCACUGAAGCAGCCUCAGAUGUGUAAUGUCCGUCACGGGACCUCAGAGUCUUUACUGUGAGUGAGGAGACAGGUGCCCUGUGGUGAUACAGGGAGAGGCUUGGCUUACCCUCACAACACGAUUAACCAGGUCAGUCAGCAGCAGUCUCCUCUCACUGGAUUCGCCAGACGUCUGGACUCAGUGCUUGUCUUCUUUUUUUUCUGCAGGUCCCUCUCUCAGCUGGUGUGAUCUUGGGUGAAACAAGUUCUCUCAGCCAGGUCCUAUCUCUGUGCUACAGUCUCUCACAUGUCCUUUCUCUGGCUCAGCUUGUGGUCACUCUUAGAAUCCUCCUCCCUCAGAGCUGUGCAGGAAGUCCUGACAGGCCCUGCGAUGAUGCCACACAAAUCAAU